AUACUGCUGAAGAGUCCCAAACUAGGACGAGACAGCUGUCCAAGAU
rnacentral:hammerhead_ribozyme from 1 species